rnacentral:lncRNA from 1 species
AGGGAAGGUUCAGUAAAUAGGCUGUUAUUACCAGGAGCCUGCAUGACUCAAGCAAGCAGCUGGGGCCUGAGCAGUGAGCAGAAUGGAAUGUCUAUCAGGACAGCCGUAGAUUUCCACAGCUUCCUGCUUUCGUCAGCUUCAGCUUAACAUCUAUUAUUGUGAAGAGUAGGGUCUUCCAAGUUUAUAAGAAGAAUCAGAUUUCCAAGAGCAAUUUACCCCUUUCUUCAUUCUGUUAGGCAUUAUUUGGAAUGGCUUUUCUUCGAUGAAUUCAAUUAACAGGCUGGAGUGCAGCGGCGUGAUCUCGGCUCACUACAACCUCCACCUCCCGGGUUCAAGCGAUUCUUCUGCUUCAGCCUUCUCCUGAGCAGCUGGGAUUACAAGUGCGCACCAUCAUGCCUGGCUAAUUUUUGUAUUUUUAAUAGAGACGGGGUUUCUCCAUGUUGGCCAGGCUCGUCUCAAACUCCUGACCUCAGGUGAUCUGCCCACCUCGGCCUCCCGAAGUGCUGGGAUUACAGGUGUGAGCCACUGCACCCAGCCUAAAGAGAAUAUUUUCUCAAUUAAAAAUACUAUAGUCUUCAGAAAAGAAUCAAUUAAAGUGAUGAGAAAUUUCAAAUAUAUUAACUACAAACUGCAACUUUGAAAAAUAUUGCAGGCAAUUUUAUUAAGUUCUACAGAGAAAUGUCAGUAACAUGGUAUUAGAAAUAAAUAUAGCUGAUAAACAGAUUAAAGUUUAUGAAUAUAUACCAAGAAUAAUUAUUCUGCUUAUGUAAUUUUAAUUUUGGAAAACCAUUUUGAAAAGUUUGUUACAUGAAAUGUUAUUUUUAAAAGAAUUUCAUAUUUGAAAAUAGUUUGAAUAUAUAAUUUUUAAGUAUUUUCAAUGCAAUUAGUCCAAUUUUCUGAUCAAUAAAUAUCUUUUAAAAGUAUGUAACUUUAUUGUUUUCAUUUCAAAAUGUUUCAGUUUGGAAAUUAUACAAUCAUCCUACAUAACCAGGCAACACAAAUCACAUAAAAAUACGUAUGCCCUCAGCGACACUGUGCUAUCUUCUAACUAGGUUUCCUUCUGUGUGUACUUAAGUGUGUGUGAUAUCAAAAAUUCACGUGAAUGGCUUUAUAUUUGACUUGAUGACCCAGAGUACUAUUGAGCAAGAAAUAGCAUUGCCCUGGGUAUGCUAUUUGAUCAGAAUCUACCUUGUCUGUCAUUCCUUCUUGCAUACUUGCUUUCUGUUUUUCUGAACUUCUCUGACUAUAAGGUUCUAUCUGUUUUCUUUUCUUGCUUGUACUUUGUCAGAAAACUAAUUUGCAGUCAUUCAUACUAGUAUUUACUGAGUGAGGUGAUUCUAACAUCAUGUAGAAACAGUUGAAUCAAAUCCUACCAUACCAUUGAUUAACUGGGUAAACUUUGGUAAAUCACUUAAUGUCUCUAAAUGCGAUGUUCUUAUUUGUGAGACAUGGAUGAUAAUAUCUGCCAUGUACAUUGUUGCAAGUAUUUUAAAAAUGAUAUUUGUAAGCAUUUAAAAAUAUUAUAUUUUAAAAUAUAAUAUAAUUA